rnacentral:rRNA from 1 species
CGUCCGGCGACCGGCGCACGGGUGAGUAACACGUAUGCAACCUGCCCUCUUCAGGGGGACAACCUUCCGAAAGGGAGGCUAAUCCCGCGUAUAUCGGUUUCGGGCAUCCGAGAUCGAGGAAAGAUUCAUCGGAAGAGGAUGGGCAUGCGGCGCAUUAGCUAGACGGCGGGGUAACGGCCCACCGUGGCGACGAUGCGUAGGGGUUCUGAGAGGAAGGCCCCCCACACUGGUACUGAGACACGGACCAGACUCCUACGGGAGGCAGCAG